CAUCGGCUAAGGAAGAACUGAUUAAAAUUUGGUUGAAUUUGGUUAAAAAUUGAACGAGAAAUGAACAAAAUUUUGUCUUGCUUUUUCCGGUCAAUUAACAAAAAAUAUUACUGAAUGCGUAAUUAGGACAUGUAUAAUUUAUGCACUCAGUGCUAAGACAAUAAUGAGAUGAUAAACCUCAUUAAGCUUCGGCCUUCAUUAUCUAUUGUCUUAGUUGCAUUUCACGCGACCGAAAUUCAAUAUCUAAAACAAGGCUUACGGAGUUACCCAUUAUUACGUUCAGCAAAGUGCCAGUCCAUUCAAAUUCUAACAACAUUAGAUUACUUCAAUACAGGGUGUAUAAAAAGAACGCAACCUCGGAAUUUCCCAAGAAAUCGACAUUGGUUUAAAGACAAAAGAUUUUAG